GUGGCUGAGCAUCGCCGAGAUGUAUGGCAUGUGGCAGUUGUAGUUUGACUUCGCACGGGAGCUGACAGUGGAUCUCGAUAUAACGAAUUUGGUUGACCAAAAGUAAGCGCGCUCCUCCCCGCGCGGAUGUUUUUAGUGUGGAUAAGAAUAAUGAAAUAAAAAACAAAAACAAAAACAAUAAAACUGUUACGAUAUUUAUUUGUGUAUAACGGAAAUACUAGAAAGCGACAAAAUAUCACAGGAAGACAGCAAAAGUGUGCGGAAAUGCGAAAAAUAUUUGUGAAAUUCGAAAACAAAUAAAUAAAUAAAUUUAAAAUUAUUUUAAGCGUGUCUAACGGUUUGUGUGUUCGCGCUGUAUAACAGUAAAUGCUUUAACUGCCAAAUGAGUGUCGAUGGAAACCAAGUGCGGCAGUUGAAAUUUGAAAAUUUAAGCUUUGCAAGCUCCGCAGUUUUGAGGUGAAAAUUAUGAAUAAUAAUUAAUAGCACACAUAAAAAUUUAUUGCAAGCAGUAAAAAAAAUAUAUAUUUAAUUAUUACGAAAUAUUUAAUAAGUUAUUAAAUAAUAAUAAAUAUUAAAUAAAAAGUGCGAAGAAUUCAAUAGUUGUGAGCAAAGUGAAAAAGAUCAACAGUCGCGUACUUGUAAUUAACAAAACUGCCGCAGAAUUUCUCUAAAAAAGUCAACAUGUCGUAUACGUAAUAUAUAUCUACAGCUGUUCAUCACUACAACAAAUACUAUGCAAGCAGAGGCCGCAUAAAGUUCGUUAGUUCUAGGUUUAACAAGUGCGUUGCGUGUCUAAAAAUCCCUAUAUACAUAUGUAAGUAAGAAGUGGGUGGUUCGGCAACAAAUUUCGUUCGCAAAUAAUUGAAUUAAUACUUCGAAAGGUAACUAAAGAAAAUUGGUGCAAUAAAUUAAAAUUUACAAAAGCGACAAAAUACGAGCAACUUAAAAAGCAACAACAACUGCGAUACAGCAAGGCGCAAACUCACACACAUACGUUGCGAAAAUCUGGUAAAAUAACAAGCGUUGAGCACUCUUGUAAAAAACAUGACUAUGUUAAAGCGAGUAAGCAACACGCAAACGACAAUGUAAAAAAUAAUAAAAAACAACACGAAAAAAAUAAAAGAAGAAAAACAAGAAUAUAAAAUAAAAGAAAAACUUAAAACGUAAAACGAAAAACAAAGGAAUCAACGAAGCAGCGCCAAACGAAGCACAGAGAUAUUCAGCCAAUAUAACGGUAUAUUCAUAGUCGGUUUUUCGCGCGUUACAAUAAUAUUUUUAGUACAGUCUGCCGUAAAAAUGUGCAUAUAAAAUGCAAUCAAACUACAGCGGUGUGUGUAAGCGAAGCAAAAAAUGGAAAUUAUAAAUUAUUUUUAAAAACUCGGUUGUUAAAUUGAGACAAUAAAUAACGAAAUACUAUCGUAGAAUAUUUAAAAAUUCAUCAAUAAUACAAAAUAUGUAUAUACUUCAACCUAACCUCAAUGUAGUCGUAUACAGUGCGUUUAAGUGUGUGUAAAUUUAAGUUACUUUGUGUCGACUUUCAUUAUUUAAUUAAAUGUAACAAAAAGAAACUACAACUCUUUAAAACCAACGGCAGCUGAAAUAUAAAACAACAACUACAAUAACACAAAG